AGAGAACUGGAGGCACACCAAGCUGUGUGAUGAGCAAGACCCACUUACUUACUCCAUGCAGCUUUGAUGGCAUGGCGUGUAGGAGGGACUUCCCCUUUGAACAUCCGUGCCGGCACUGGCAGUCAGGGUGCCAGAAGACUGUGAACAUCAGUUUAACCAAUGGACAUCUAAAUUGCAACAAUCAAGUCUCGUCACAGGAUUCAUCGUGGUAAUACCUUUCUACUCUUAUAAUUUCUUUCUCAUUACUUUCCUUAUAUAUUUUCUUAAGUGUUACUUUUAUGCUUUUAUAUUAUUACCAUAGAUAACAAUAACCAAAAUGGCUAUAUACAUCCUCUCCAUUGCAACCAAAUUCUAAGUUCUAAGUCAAACUCUACACACACAUGCACACGCACGCAUGUACACACGCACGCACAUAUAUAUAAAGCCACCAAUCAUUCAAUGUGUUUUCACUCUGUUAUAGAUACAUAUUAUAAUAUUGGCUUUUCACAAAUAUUAAAAUGGAUUCUAUAUGUGUGGUAUCAAAGUAACUUUGUUAUAAAGAUAGAGUUUUUAUUUCUGUUAAUUAAGCCUAGAUGUAGGGAAAUCACUGAUAUAAGUAUGCUUGUGUUAAAAUGCCUUCUUGGAUGGGAUAACAUCCAAUGAAGAAUAUGAAGAGGACACCUGCUACAGAUAUGCCAACUAUCAGCACUCACCAUCUGAAGACAGGUGAACCAAGGCCCAAAACCUGGAGGAGAUAAGAAUGGACUAAAACCACAACCAAGGAAUACGCAUGAUCUAAAAAGGUGGACCCAAGAAGAUUUGGAACAUGUAAACUAGUUUGGGGAAAAGUUUACUAUGCAUAAGGUACUUUACAUUUUCCAGGUGCUAUUUUACAUAGUCCCUCCUCGGGUCCACCUUUUUAGAGCAUGCAUGUUGCUUGGCUGUGGUUUUGGCUCCUCUUUUAUCACUUCCAGUGUGGGCCUUGGUCCUCACUAUCUUCAGAUGGCGAGUGCUGAUAGUUGGCAUAUCUGUAGCAGAUGUCCUCAUCCUAUGUCCAUUGGAUGUUAUCCGUUCCAAGCAGGCGUUUUAACACAAGCAGAGCUAUUUCACUACUGCAGGAAUAAAACCUAUUCAACAUCACACAUCUGA
rnacentral:lncRNA from 1 species